UACACUAAGGACAGUGCAUGCCUCGAGC
rnacentral:piRNA from 1 species